GGCUGGAUCACCUCCUAACAGGGAGACAAACAAUGAUCUUGAUGUUUGACCCAAUUUUGUGGUUAAGCCGAGAUCCUGUCAUCUCGAUGGUCGAUCGGUACCUCAAGUUGAGAGUUUAGAAGACUGAGCAAUCAGUUUUGUUAAGCAAUUCAAUUUCAGUUCCUAAACGUUGUCUAGGUCACCCCAAAGGGACAGCAAACGCAUGUGAGUCGCAAUCGUAUUGUGAGUCACUGUGAUUUGAUGUUGCUGAGAGGUCUUAUCUCCUGGGCCAUUAGCUCAGGUGGUUAGAGCGCACCCCUGAUAAGGGUGAGGUCCCUGGUUCAAGUCCAGGAUGGCCCAUUCGUGUUUGGGGGUUUAGCUCAGUUGGUAGAGCGCCUGCUUUGCAAGCAGGAUGUCAGCGGUUCGAGUCCGCUAACCUCCAUAUCAACGAUGAACCUCAAAGCACGCUAAGGAGAAGUCCUUGGUGAUGGUGAUGUAGACGAACAGGUAAAAGCUGAGAGUUCAGCCUCCAGCCAUUCCCUUAGAGGGUUGGAUGGAUGCUGAAUUCAGCGUAGCAACCAAGGCAAGGAUCAACCGCGUCUUGAUUGUGAGCGGGAAUUCAGCCAAAGAACCUUGACAACUGCAUAGGUGAGUCUGGAAAGAAAGCAUCUCAUGGAUGCCGGAAGCUCCAGGUUGAGUGCUGAGUGAUCAAUCCAGCAAUGGUUUGAGAGCUUGGUGUGAGAUCAGGAGCGGAUGGAGAUUCUAUGAACAGAGCCGAGACCAGCAAACGUCUUGUCCCUCGCCGAGAGGAGAUGAGUUUGAGGUCGGUAUUUCAAGGCUGCAGAGGAGAGCUGUUGACCGCGCAAUAAACCGCAA
rnacentral:tRNA from 1 species